CUACGUUGAUCUUGCGUCCGUCCUGUUGAACGAAAACAAACAGAGAACUUCAGUGAAUUAUCACUUAGUUUAUCUGAUGACAAUGCUAAAUAUAGCUGCAUUCCAAAUCAAUAGAACAUGGUAAACAGUUCCACAGUGAAGUACGAAAUUAUGAAGGCAAUGGUCUCAGAAAUAAUAAAUUUAUCAAUCUCGGUCAAUCUUACUCAUCAAUAAACUCAUUAUUGUACCAUUUUGCUCAACAUCAUGAAUUUCAAAACUCCUUCUUGCAACUUGAAUGCCCAGCCUCUGCCACAUUUAUUAAUGGUGAACUUAAAAGUAAGUUAUCAACUACUGAAAAAUUAUAUAUGACAGCCUCAAUCUAUGGAGACAUCUUUGUAAGUGAUCAGCUGUAAUACAGAGACUUGUGCACCCAAAAUAUUAUGAAUAA
rnacentral:misc_RNA from 1 species